ensembl:lncRNA
GCUACUAUCCUGCAGCUUUUAGAUGCAUCCCUAUUCCAACACAGCUGAAUCAAAUGGUUUGAUUACCUCUUCAGCAUGCCAUCAUGUUUGGCAAAGGCCUGAUAACAAGCCAUUCAUUUGAUUCGGGUGUGUGGGAACAAGGAUGCACCUAAAAGCUGCAGGACGGUAGCUCUCGAGGACCGGGAUUGGGCACCCCUGAUAUAAGGGGUGGACCAAGACUUUUGCACAGUACCAUGUGAAAGGGGUUUUGAGCCGACACAGUCGGAGACAAAAGUUAAUUUACUAGUGCUAGUUAUUAUAAAGCGCUGACAUUCUCUGCUACUUCAAACCCAUUUAAGUUGGGUGAAAGGAUCGCCAAAUGUUCUGCCUCUUCAGCUUCCUCCAUUUAGCUCCUCAUCCUCCCCCUCCUCCCUCAUUAUUUUCUCCCAUAAGAACUGCAGCUGAGACAGCCCUGUAAUUAUGCAUUUUAAUGGCCCUUAGACCUGCUGCCUUUCACACAGGUCUCUAUAUGCAGUGCUGCCAGCUCCUUCUGAUGCCUUCACGCUGCCUUUGUGACAGCUUCAUACAGAGUGAUGGGAAAGGAAGAAGAGACAGACAUGGGCCAAAGAAACAGACAAACAAGAAACCGCAUGUCGUUAUAAGAAAGAAAGUGAAACUGUUUCAUGUGAAUAAGAGUGUGGCCUAUCUGUGUUUCUAAAAUUGUUUUAGUUUUUUUUUUUUUUUUUUUUUGCACUGGGAUAAAAAAUCGAGGGAGGUGAGGAGGUGCAAACACAGACUUGAUGACUUGUGUGUUUUUAGGCAUGGUCAAUAAGAGAAAGGUUUGCAGUUUUAUUGGCAUUGAUUAGAGCGUUAUACCAUACAUUGUUGGAAGAUAAUUACAUUAACUGGUCUCGCUUAAUCGCAUUAGGAAUGCGAGAGAAGGGAAUGGAGUAUGUCAUAUCCUCGCAGAUACACACAUCAUAGCCUCGGCCGUUCUGCUUAGUUGGUUUAUCUGGCAGGAGGCCAAGCACCUAUAAGAGCUGUAGGAAAUUUGCUGACUUCACUGACAACUGUGCUUUUUAUUUUUUGAAAGGGUAAGGCAACAUUUUUAGGGUGAUGAUUUAUGUUGUUUCUCUGUCCUCAAUGACUGUGGAGACAACGCCAACCCAGAGAUUCUAGUUUCAGCCUAUUGUUUGGAUCGCUUGGCAGUGACAUGCCUUUGUUCCCCAAAAGCCAAAAUUGUACCACCUCUUAACUUCGUUCAGAAGUUGUCACAACACCUGACCUCUGGGAAAGAAUAAUCCCUGAGAGAAAGUGACAUACCGCGCCAAAGUAAGGAGCAGUUUUAGUUGAAAUGCCUCCUACGCCUCAUUGCCCUGUGACCCAUUUUAUGCAAGCACCUUCGCAGUUUGUGUCCUGUCAGUAUCUAUAAAAGCCAGUGUUCCUUAGAGGCCAGCUCAGGCUGCUCUUGAGGUUAAUUGACCCCAGGCAGUCUACCUCCCUUCACCCAAGUCAUGGGGGGACCACUCGGUG